UACGUAGGAGGCGAGCGUUGUCCGGAUUUACUGGGCGUAAAGCGCGCGCAGGCGGCAUGGCAAGUAAGGUGUGAAAUCUCCCUGCCUAACGGGGAGGGUGCAUUUUAGACUGCCAAGCUAGAGGACGGUAGAGGGUCGCGGAAUUCCAGGUGUAGCGGUGAAAUGCGUAGAUAUCUGGAGGAACACCGGUGGCGAAGGCGGCAUCCUGGACCAACAUUGACGCUGAGGAGCGAAAGGCUAGGGGAGCAAAGCGGG
rnacentral:rRNA from 1 species